ACCUGGCGGCGAGUGGCGAACGGGUGAGUAAUAUAUCGGAACUUCCCCAAGAGUGGGGGAUAACGUAGCGAAAGUUACGCUAAUACCGCAUACGAUCUAUGGAUGAAAGUGGGGGAUCGCAAGACCUCAUGCUCCUGGAGCGGCCGAUAUCUGAUUAGCUAGUUGGUGAGGUAAUGGCUCACCAAGGCGACGAUCAGUAGCUGGUCUGAGAGGACGACCAGCCACACUGGAACUGAGACACGGUCCAGACUCCUACGGGAGGCAGCAGUGGGGAAUUUUGGACAAUGGGCGCAAGCCUGAUCCAGCAAUGCCGCGUGAGUGAAGAAGGCCUUCGGGUUGUAAAGCUCUUUUGUCAGGGAAGAAACGGUUGGGGCUAAUAUCCCCGGCUAAUGACGGUACCUGAAGAAUAAGCACCGGCUAACUACGUGCCAGCAGCCGCGGUAAUACGUAGGGUGCAAGCGUUAAUCGGAAUUACUGGGCGUAAAGCGUGCGCAGGCGGUUUUGUAAGUCUGACGUGAAAUCCCCGGGCUCAACCUGGGAAUUGCGUUGGAGACUGCAAGGCUAGAGUCUGGCAGAGGGGGGUAGAAUUCCACGUGUAGCAGUGAAAUGCGUAGAGAUGUGGAGGAACACCGAUGGCGAAGGCAGCCCCCUGGGUCAAGACUGACGCUCAUGCACGAAAGCGUGGGGAGCAAACAGGAUUAGAUACCCUGGUAGUCCACGCCCUAAACGAUGUCUACUAGUUGUCGGGUCUUAAUUGACUUGGUAACGCA
rnacentral:rRNA from 1 species